rnacentral:tRNA from 1 species
GUGGCUCAGUGGUCGAGCACUUGCCUUGCAUGCAUGAGGCCCUGGGUUCAAUUCCUCAGC